rnacentral:lncRNA from 1 species
GGCUAUUCUUGAACCCCUUCAUGAACUAAGCAUGGUGGGAAUGACUUAACUAAGUGCAAUGGAGCCAACAUCAUAUCAUUGUGAGGUGACAUUCUCUAGAGGCCAAAUAAGAUGGGUACUUGCAUUAGAUGCAAAUGAGUAAGUGUACUCUCUCAUUGUUAUUAAUGCUAGCCAACAUCAUAUCAUUGUGAGGUGGGCUUGGUAGUAGUGAGUUUCCCAUACCCUACUAAGAGUUUCCUCCAAAAACUCUCGAAUUCCAACGAGGGAUAUGGAAUUUGCCAAAAAUAGUGGGUGGUGCUAUUUGAUUUAAAGACCCGGAUCAAAUGGUUUAAAAUCAAUCAAUUUAUAUUCGUUAUGUAUUUGUUUACCAAUAUAUUUGCAAACGCUAUCCAACACUU